rnacentral:rRNA from 1 species
AUAUUGGCGAGAGACCGAUAGCGAACAAGUACCGUGAGGGAAAGAUGAAAAGAACUUUGGAAAGAGAGUUAAACAGUACGUGAAAUUGCUUAAAGGGAAACGCUUGAAGUCAGUCGCGUUGUCUGGGAUUCAGCCUUGCAUUUAUGUCUGGUGUAUUUCCUAGUUAACGGGUCAACAUCAGUUUCGAUUGCUGGAAAAAGGUGUAAGAAAUGUGGCAUCAUUCGUGGUGUGUUAUAGUCUUGCAUUGUAUACAGCGGUUGGGACUGAGGAACUCAGCACACCUUUAUGGUCGGGAUUCGUCCACGUAAUGUGCUUAGGAUGUUGGCAUAAUGGCUUUAAUCGACCCGUCUUGAAACACGGAC